rnacentral:lncRNA from 1 species
AGGGACUCAAAAUUCUGAGGUCAGGCCUUAUUUCAAAUCAAUGGAAAUAAAGAUUGGAGAUGUAAUAAAAGCAUACCAUGAUUUUUUGAUGGUGGUAAAAUGCCCUACGAAUUUUGGGGGCAGCCUUGAAACUAUGUUGAAAAAGAUUUCUUCAGGAAAUGCUUCUUAUCAUCUUUUUUCUUGAUGAUUUGUGACAUUGCUUUUGCUCAUCCAGGGCUACCAAACAACGAAGCAGAAGAUUAAUCAAAUUAUAAAAAAUAAAGUUAAAACAUUUUAAAAAUGAACAAAAUACCUUAAAAAUGAAUAAAAUACCAAUCAAUGUCAUACCUUAUAAUCUUCAGUUAAAUCCAUAGUUCAGAUGAGGGUUGGGAUUAACCUGUAUAUUUAUUUCUAAACAGAGUUCAAACGUUCAUUUCUCUUUCGAGUCAUCAUCCUAAUAUAAGGAAGAGACUGACAGCAACAGGCCAAUAUGAAUUGGGGCUGGAAAAUUGUAUAGAAAACUUAAAAUCUAAAUUUUAAGGUAAAUAAAAAUAUAAAAUUUUUUAAAACCUAAUAAGAGACCGACCAUUUCCCUGUCUGGAAUAAAAUCUAUUACAUGAUACAAAUAAUUUUUCAAUAACUAAUAAGAGACUGACCAUUACCCUGUCUGGAAUCAAGUCUAUUACGUGAUGAUAAAAUUCAAAGUUCCAAAACUCCACAGAUCGUAUUUUCCAUCUGAAUUGUAAGAAAACAGUUAAAUUAAUUAGUAAUUUAAGAUUGGGAGAGGUUACCGUUAAGAAACAGGAUGAGGAGAUAGAAACCCAGCGCAUUACGG